rnacentral:lncRNA from 1 species
UUGCAGUAUAUGUUGCGACUACUACAUCUUGAAAUAAAAUGUUAAAACAUAAAAGCACUGAAAAUGAGCACAUUUUCAGUGUUUACGAAAGUGUUAACUCAACAAUUCAGCCCAAA